AUGGUGCUGUAAGGUGUAAGCCUGCGUUCCUGUGAUCGUGCAAACAACCAUCCCUCUCUAUCUUACGCCUUAAAAAUAACAAACUACCCCCCCAACUCUCCGCUCCUCGCCUUUCCCCUGUGUCUGUGUGGAACUGCAAUCACCAGACCCUUUACAUUUCCAUCGUCGCAUCUUUCGCCACUUCCGGCUUCGAAGAUUCCGGUCUAUGAGCUCGUAGGAAUGUGCAAACAUCGGUCUAUUGAACACCUAAGAAUUAAUAACCAUACGAUUACCUAACAUUAUGGAAAUUGAAAUGGGGGAAACAGAGAAUUCUUUGGAAUCAUCAAGCAUGGGAAUAUUAAUCAAUGGUGGUGCUAAUGCCGAGAUGUUGCUAAAAAGGCCCCUGGAAAACGGUUUUGCUGUUCCUAACGAUUUUCUUGCCAAGUAUAAGCGGCGGAAGAUGUCGGCGAACCGGGAUUUUCCCAAGGGAUGUGGACGAUUUGCGUCGAUAAGUAACCGCAUUUCAAGAGAAGGAGAUGCCGUUGCAGUUAUUGCUGUCGACGACUCAAAUGUUAGGGUGGAGUGUGUUGCUGCCAUUUUAGAACCCGGCCCUGUUAACAGGGAUUCGCCCGAGGGAUGUGGAGGAUCCGCACAGAGAAUUUGCAGUCCAAGAGAAGUAGAUGCUAUUGCAACUAUUGCUGUAGAGGAUUCAAAAGUUGGGGUAGAGGGUGCUGCCGUUCUAGAACCUAACCCUGCCAACUUGGAUUUUUCCAAUGGAUCUGAACGGGUUGCACCAAUAACUAAUGGCAGUUCAAGAGAAGGAGAUGCUGCUGCAGUUAUUGCUAUUAAGGACCUGAAAGUUGGGGCAGGAAACGCUUCUGUUUUAGAGUCUAUCCCUGCCCUGCAAGUUGGAACUUGUGUCAACUUUGAAGCUCCUGCAUUGUUAGAAGGUUCCGUUCGAGCAAAACCCUUGGAUUCAUCAGAAAAUCUGAAAACCAAGAGUCCAAAGCUUUUGGAGUCUCCUGUUGAGUCGGAAGCAGGCGAACCGGCAGAAUUGCUUGAUUCAUCAAAGAAUUUGGAUAUGCAAGCAACUAGUAUUUUGGAAUUGCAGUCAGCUAAGAAUUCUGUGCUGGCUGUUACUUUGGAAUUGUCAAAGAUUUCAGAUCAGCCUCAACCAUCCAGUCUUGUUGUUGAUAACACAAAUGCGAGGUUGUCAAAGAAAUAUCCUUCUCGGAGUAAAAUUUCAGCCAAUCGAGAUUUUCCGCAAGGUUGUGGGAGAAAUGCUCCAUCUGCAAGUAAGGAAGAACAGUUAAGAGCCAUUUCUUCUUCCGGAGGCAAGUACUUAGCCGAUGCCAUGCCUAGUGGGAAACAAAUUGGUCAAGAGGUUCAAGGCAGAGAUGUUUUCAAUGAUAAAUCAAAAGGUGGUGUUACUAAUGAAAUUGAGAAAAAAGCUAAAUCCAAAGGAGAUGUUACCAAAGAAAUGGCUGAACAUUUUCAAGUGAAAAUAACUUGUGAAGUCAAGGAUGAUGCUGAACAAAACACAGAUAGAAUUCAUGAUGGAGAUGCUCAAAACAAAAAACCGAAAGGAAAUGUACAUAAAGAACUUAAGGAGCAAGUUCAAAUUAGAGCAGACUCUGAAAGCAACUCAAAAUGGGAAGAUACAGAAGAAACUAACAUGAAAUCUCCAAGAGAAAUAACAACAGAAGACUCCCCUGGUUUUGGACACCAUGAUAACAGGGUUAUUGUGCAGGCUCUGAUGGCUGCACCAAACUGUCCAUGGAGGCAGGGAAGACGGGCUUUCAAAUCUACCCCAACUAGUUAUACAAAAAACAAAGCAAAGAAGAGUGAAAAUGGGGUUCGGGAAAAAUCUGCUUCUGUUUCUAGAAAAAAGAAUAAUGAAUCAGGAAAUUUAGUAGGAAAAACUACAAAGAAGUUGUCUCUUAUAGGAAAGAUUGCUUAUGAAGAGAUUGGUCAACUGGUUGUCAGGGAGGAGGAAGAUUUUCUCGAACAUGAACAAGAAGCUGAAAAUAUUCCUGUGGGUAAAAAAUCACAUGAUUUGGAACUGAGCUUGAUUCCAUUUGGUGUUAAUUCUUCGAGUGAUAAAGGUGCCCGUAACAAAGUCAGGGAGACCCUACGUCUCUUCCAAGUGAUCUGUAGAAAGCUCUUGCAGGAAGAGGAAGCAAAGUCGAGGGAUCAAGGAAAUCCUUCCAAACGGAUUGAUCUCAUAGCUUCAGCUAUUCUCAAGGACAAAAACAAAUGGGUUAAUACUGAGAAGAUCUUGGGACCUGUCCCUGGGGUUGAAGUUGGUGAUGAGUUUCAUUUUAGGGUAGAGCUUGCUAUCAUUGGUCUUCAUCGCCCAUUUCAAGGUGGUAUAGAUUACAUGAAGCAAGGUAAAAAAAUUAUUGCGACAAGUAUUGUUGCUUUGGCUUCUGGUGAUUAUGCAGAUGACAUGGACAGUUCUGAUGUCUUGGUAUAUACUGGCUCCGGAGGAAAGCCAGCGAGUGCAGAUAAGAAAGCUGAAGAUCAAAAGCUCGAACGAGGAAAUCUAUCACUGAAGAAUAGUAUGGAUGCAGGUACAUUUGUCAGAGUUAUCCGUGGAUAUAAAGAAAUGAAGGCCUCUGACACCAAGGGUAAGUUGGUUUCAACAUACAUCUAUGAUGGGCUGUACAAGGUGGAGAAAUUUUGGCAGGAAAGAGGGCGUUAUGGUUCUUCUGUCUUUAAGUAUCAGCUGAGAAGAAAUCCAGGUCAGCCAGAACUUGCACUUAAAGAAGUAAAGAAGUCAAAGAAAUUGAAGGUACGUGAGGGUCUCUGUGUGGAUGAUAUUUCUGGUGGAAAAGAGAAGAUGCGUAUAUGUGCUGUGAACACCAUAGAUGAUGAGAAGCCUCCACAGUUUACAUACACAACCAAUAUCAUAUACGCUGAAUGGUACAAUCAGUUACCUCCUAGGGGUUGUGAUUGUACAGAUGGGUGCUCAGAUUCUGAGAAAUGCUUUUGUGCAGUAAAGAAUGGAGGAGAGAUCCCAUUCAACUAUAAUGGUGCUAUUGUGGAAGCAAAGCCCCUUGUUUAUGAAUGUGGUCCUUCUUGCAAGUGCCCUCCAUCUUGCCAUAACAGAGUUAGCCAGCAUGGCAUCAAAUUUCAGCUAGAGAUCUUCAAAACCAAAACCAAGGGUUGGGGUGUCAGAUCCCUAACUUCCAUCCCAUCUGGAAGUUUUAUAUGUGAGUAUACAGGAGAACUGCUUGAGGAUAAAGAGGCUGAGCAAAGAACUAACAAUGAUGAGUAUUUGUUUGAUAUUGGACACAACUACAAUGAUCAUACCCUUUGGGAUGGACUCUCAACUUUGGUACCAGAUUUGCAAACAAGUUCUAGUGAAGUUGUGGAGGAUGUAGGCUUCACCAUUGAUGCAGCGCUAUAUGGGAAUAUAGGGAGAUUCGUCAACCAUAGUUGUUCACCUAACUGUUAUGCACAAAAUGUCCUUUAUGAUCAUGAUGACAAGAGAAUGCCUCACAUAAUGCUCUUUGCUGCUGAGAAUAUUCCUCCCUUACAGGAGUUAACUUACCAUUACAACUAUAUGAUAGACCAGGUUCAUGAUUCUGAUGGGAAUAUCAAGAAGAAAAAUUGCUAUUGUGGCUCGCAUGAGUGCACUGGGAGGCUCUAUUGAGGCAAAUUUUAUCCAUGCAAAAUUUCAUUCUGCUGGGAUGGAGAACCACGCCAACUGCUGAAUGCAUCCUUGACAGUCUUAAGGAGGCACCAAUAACGGUUGAUGUCUCAUAGUAUAAUACCCCAAAAUUUCCAAGCUAAAGGAUCCUGAAGUAAAAGAUGAUUUGUGGUAGAACACGCUCCCAGUCUCCUCAAUGGACAUUCCUUUCUAUUCAUAUUGUCUUAUGUAGAGGGUACAAGGACAGUAAGCUGGAAGAUUAGUGAGAGUACUCUUCAAGAGAAUUUAAUUUGCUUCCUUUCAAUGGAUAAUUAGCCUUCCAGGAAGUUGGUUUUCUUUCUAUUCUCAUUACAGUACAAAAAUGUAACAUGCACUCAACACAUAUGUAUAUAUGUAUUACUUCGAAUAAAAUUUGCCAAGAACCAUACUCCAGUAUUUGCACUUGCAGUUUAUUGGAGCUUGGAAGGAGAUGAAACAGAACAUUUCAGGAUGAGUUGGGGGUGGUCUCUAUGCAACGAGUAAAAGAUCUCCAAAUGAUAUAUUGUUAGCAUCUUCUAUGAUAAAAAGAUUACAAGCACAUGUCAAUAUCAUUUUUAUCCAAGUGGUUGGUCGAUGGCCAUGUACUUCUUUUUCAAAUUAAUGGAAGAUACUCAACUUUUGCUUUACAAUUUGUAUUAGGAUUAUACUUUGAAAAGAGACUCUACGGUGCCUAGCAAUUUGUUGCAUGCACAUGAUCAUCAUGUCCGGGACUUUGACUCGACAAGAU